rnacentral:misc_RNA from 1 species
GCAAACUUGGUCAUUUAGAGGAAGUAAAAGUCGUAACAAGGUUUCCGUAGGUGAACCUGCGGAAGGAUCAUUACCAAGUUAGGGUCCCCCCCGCCCGGGAAUGAACGGGCGGGGGGGCGCCCAACCUUCAAACCCUUGUGUACGUGCCCGCUAUUAUUUUAUUUUUGGGCGUUUUUCGCUUUUUGCAGGUUGCUUCGGCGGGUCGAGAUGCCCGCCGAACAGCAGCACGCAUCAGAAAAAUCAUGUGCAAAAAAGUGUUGUCUGAGGCAAAAAAAACAGAAUAAUUAAAACUUUCAACAACGGAUCUCUUGGUUCCCGCAUCGAUGAAGAACGCAGC